CCUACGUGCUGCAGCAGUGAGGAAUAUUGGUCAAUGGGCGCGAGCCUGAACCAGCCAAGUAGCGUGAAGGAUGACUGCCCUACGGGUUGUAAACUUCUUUUAUAAAGGAAUAAAGUGAGGCACGUGUGCCUUUUUGUAUGUACUUUCUGAAUAAGGAUCGGCUAACUCCGUGCCAGCAGCCGCGGUAAUACGGAGGAUCCGAGCGUUAUCCGGAUUUAUUGGGUUUAAAGGGAGCGUAGAUGGGUUGUUAAGUCAGUUGUGAAAGUUUGCGGCUCAACCGUAAAAUUGCAAUUGAUACUGGCAGUCUUGAGUACAGUUGAGGUAGGCGGAAUUCGUGGUGUAGCGGUGAAAUGCUUAGAUAUCACGAAGAACUCCGAUUGCGAAGGCAGCUUACUAAACUGCCACUGACAUUGAUGCUCGAAAGUGUGGGUAUCAAACAGGAUUAGAUACCCUUGUAGUC
rnacentral:rRNA from 1 species